CUAUAUACAUAAACGCAAUAUUUCAGGUUCAAAAUGGCAAUUUUCUUGAUCUUCUAUACAUUUAGGACAGACUUCAGCAAUUGUAUUAGAGGCGUUUCAAUCGUAGAGUGCGAGCGUCAGACUUUAACUCUCAUUUCUGACCUUUCUGUUGCUUUAAUGCCAUGAGACCUAUAUAGACAUUUGAUUCUCAGGAAAAUCAAGAUAGAUUGACAUUAUUUACA